GGUUGUUAGAGAUACAAAUUGCUUGUGGAAGGAAUAUCUCCAGCAGUUUUGGGUGGAGCCAAGACACUACAAACAUAAGUACUACGACACACUUGCGCAACCACUUCAAAAGGUGUUUUUGUCGGGUGGAGCACCAAAACUGAAGUAUGGCUGACAGAUACACUGUAUUUGUUACCAUUUUGCUCCUCAGCUGUCGAACCACUUCAUUACGUUUCAUCAAGACCUGAUUUAACCACAUUCUGAGUAAAACAGAUGUAUGAACUUUUGGGCAAAUCAUGCAAGCAAUUUCUGGAAAGCAUAAUGUGCAUAAGCUAGUGCUAACUGCUGCUGGAAGUCUGCCGGGGAAUUGGUUAACAUGUACAUCACGCUGGUGAACUGGAUAGUAGCGAAUCCCUUUCAGCUGUAGCUUCUAAUCUUGAAGAAGUCACCUGAUGCUAUUAUCC